UACAGAGGUCUCAAGCGUUGUUCGGAUUCAUUGGGCGUAAAGGGUGUGUAGGUGGCGCCGUAAGUCGGGUGUGAAAUUUCGGAGCUUAACUCCGAAACUGCAUUCGAUACUGCGGUGCUUGAGGACUGGAGGGGAGACUGGAAUUCAUGGUGUAGCAGUGAAAUGCGUAGAGAUCAUGAGGAAGACCAGUGGCGAAGGCGGGUCUCUGGCCCGAUACUGACGCUGAGGCACGAAAGCGUGGGGAGCAAACAGG
rnacentral:rRNA from 1 species